rnacentral:misc_RNA from 1 species
AAACCAGUUAUGAAAUUAGAUUAUUAGAAGUUGAAAGAAUUUCCUUUAAAUUGAAGAGUAGGAGUUAAAAAACAAAAGAAAGGAUUAACAAAGAGAAAGUAAGAAUAUAACUAAGACAAAUAAAAUACAUUCUUUAAUGUUGUACAAGUAAGAUUUCUUUUAUUAAAUUAAAUGGGCAAAAUAUUAAUAUUUAUCGUUUUGUGAAAUUUUCCACAAGCAUUUUAUUAUUUCGAUUCAUUUUAUGCAUUUCGACUCUUCUUAGAGAUAUAUCUUUUCGUGAGAAAUGGAAGAAAAGAAAAAGGUCACGAUGGAUUUUUUUUUCUUUUUUGAGGAUAAGUUUUCUUAUCUAAAAAUAAACUGGUCUUCUUCUUAUUCAUACUUAUUCUCUCUUUCUCUCUCUCUUAGUUUAUUUAUCUAUCUAUGAAUGUCUCUUCCUAUGCUUUUCUCGGUUCUCUUUUUUAGCUGUCCCCUCCCCCUCUCUACUUUUUAUUCUCUCCGGAUCUCCGUCCUUUAUGCUCGUGGACCUUUAUCCUGUUAUUUUUACAAAUUUUGAAAGACUAAAAGAAUUGGAAGAAAGGAUGAUUAGAUAUAAGAAUGAUGGGUUAUGAUAACUAGUCAAAACACGAGUUUGGUUGAACUGUCUCGAUUUUAGUUCUUACAAUAUGAAUUCUUUACAUGAGGAAAAAGGCUAUAAAUAGCGAUCCUGCUAUACAGCCCAAUGAUACACUGGGAUAUACGUAGGCCUGUAAAAUCUCUUUUUGUGUAAAACAUUCGACUAUCAUAUAAACAAUGAGUGAAAAAGCUAGAUAUGAAGAGCAUGAGGGAGGGGUGAUUUUAAAUAGACCUAAUGUUUUCAAGGUGAAUCGUGAUUAUCAUCAUGUAUAGGCUGAUGAUAGUUAAAAAAACGGUACAGUUAGAAAUAAAAGGAGAAAUAUAAACUGAUGAGGUCAGUCUUAGUCUGGAAUGGCUGGGAAUGUUUGCUUUACCUAUAUGUAUAAAUGUUAUAAAACUCUCUACAAUAUUUUUAUUCGAUAAUCUAUUAAAUGGCUGUCCUAUUGGCGCUUCGUAGCCUCUUCGAUUACUUCAGACCAGACUCUCUCUCUCUCUUUUUUUUUUUAUUUCGUCCAUUAUCUUAUAAAUUACCUACCUAACCUAAUUUUUUUACGAUUUCUAUAAUAGUUAUACGUAGUUAUAAGCAGCCACCAAAAAAAGACUAGUGCCUGAUUCCUAAUAUAUCUAUUCUAUUCAAUUAUAAUCGAGUGAACAAUAUCUUCGUAACCAACGAAUUAUAAUAAUAAUAUUAAUUAAUAUUACAUGAAAGCCCCUUUUCAUAUCCACCAAUCCACGUGUAUAAUUUUUGAACUGCAAAAUAGUAUAUCAAUAUUUAAACAAGACCAAUGUCACCUUGACAGGCCUAGAUAUAUUACGUCAAACAAAAGUUUCAAUCCUCCUUAACUUUAAACCAGUAAAACAGGUCAUUUAUCAAUGUCAAGAUAUUUCAAUAAAUAUAAUAUUGGGUAAAUUAAUUUACAAAACUGUUUGCUCCUUGCUAUCUAUCACUUCCGGUGUUCCCUUUCUUUACUAUUGGGUACUAUUUUUAGAUUUACAAUUAUUCAUUACUAGCUGCCCUUAAUAAUACCCUACUAAUUAGUACCAUUUUGAUUAGUUGAUAAGAAUCAAAGCUUUUUCUACUCUCAUUAAUGAAUAGAAAGAUUAUUAACGUUAUAGUGUUUGGAAGUAAAUUUAAUAAAUUAAUAUAUCUAAUUAGAUUGAACAAUCCUAAUUAAUAACGUCCCUAAAAUAAUAUAAUACAAGGAAUAAUCUAGAUGAAUUUUAAUAGUUAAAUUCUUUUUUUAACCGUAAGAAAUAUCCUUCUCGUACUUUUUUUUUGAUGAAGCUUAGAAAACAAGUAGCGUAGAAGGAGCCACUAGGAAAAUAGGUGUCGCUUCGAAAACAAACUACUUUCAUUCUCCUAUUUAGACCCUGAGUCUGUAGCACGAUGUCAGGCGGCAAGUAGCCGGUUUCAGUUUCAGAAAAGAAAUAUCUCUCAAAGUAAACGUUAUUUUAUUAUGCUGAUUAGCUCUUCAUGGCUAAGAAUUCAAAUCAUCAUGAUGUCGAAAAGCAAGCGGAAUCAAUUAAAGAACCCGCUGAACAGACAAAUGUCCCGUUGCCUACGCAAAAAGAUGGCAAUAGUCUAAAAUCAGACGACACAAGCGUCCUACCCGAACGCGAUCAGUGGGCAAAUAAAUUGGAUUUUGUCGUAUCCUGUAUUGGCUUCGCCGUUGGACUGGGUAACAUUUGGCGUUUUCCCUAUCUCUGUUAUAAAAAUGGAGGAGGGGCGUUUCUUAUUCCGUACUUCAUAUGCUUGAUAUGCGGUGGAGUACCGAUUCUCUUCUUGGAAAUAUCUUUGGGUCAAUUCAUGAGACAGGGUGGAUAUGGAGUGUGGAAAAUAUGUCCGAUAUUUCAAGGAAUUGGAUGUGCAACAACAGUGAUAGCUUUUCUUAUGAACAGUUAUUACAUAAUUAUAAUCGCAUGGGCAGUACACUACUGCUUUAGUUCAUUUACAUCCGAAUUACCAUGGUCGCAUUGUAAUAACUCUUGGAAUACCCCUAAUUGUUCGACUUUUGAAAGCGGUGCGAACUAUACAAAUGACUCGAACAGAGUAGACUCUGUUGUUCAAUUCUGGGAGAAAAAAAUUCUCAAUAUAUCGGACGGAAUAGAUAACCCGGGAGGUAUUGUUUGGCAGAACGCCGUUUGCCUUCUUUUUGUUUGGAUAGUUUGCUAUUUCUGCGUAUGGAAAGGUGUUAAAUGGACUGGAAAAGUUGUGUAUUUCACCGCUCUAUUCCCUUAUUUAGUUUUAACAAUCCUGUUAAUAAGAGGCGUAACUCUAGAUGGAGCUAUCGAUGGUAUUACAUUCUAUUUAAAACCAGAUUUUAAGAAACUUGGAGAUUCUCAGGUUUGGAUCGAUGCUGGAACACAAAUUUUUUUCUCUUACGCGAUUGCUCUUGGAGCAAUGACAGCUCUGGGUUCUUACAACAAAUUCCACAAUAACUGCUACAAGGACUGCAUAAUUGUAUCCUUGGCAAAUUCAUCAACAAGCUUGUAUGCUGGUUUCGCUAUUUUUUCAGUACUAGGUUUCAUGGCUAAACAGCAAGGUAUACCCGUCGACGAAGUAGCGGAAAAGGGACCUGGCUUAGUUUUCAUAGUCUAUCCAAAGGCUGUUACCCAAAUGCCUGUGCCAACUCUUUGGGCUAUUCUCUUCUUUGUUAUGAUUUUUCUGCUGGGCUUGGACAGCCAAUUUGUCGGUAUGGAAUCUUUCAUAACAGUUAUUGUCGAUUUAUUCCCGGUUUUAAGGAAGAAGUGGUACAAAGAAACAUUCGUUGCCGGCUAUGUCGUAUUAUCAUUCCUCAUUGGUCUUAGUAUGGUGACUCAAGGAGGAAUGUACGUUUUCCAAUUAUUCGACUACUACAGCGCUUCCGGAAUGACAUUACUAUGGGUUUGUUUCUUCGAAGCCAUAGCUAUCGGCUGGGUUUACGGUGGUAAAAAAUAUUACGAUAACUUAGAAUUAAUGCUCGGGUUCAGAAUUGACCCCUGGUUCCGUAUCUGUUGGUCAGUAAUGACUCCGGUGGUUACUUUCGCAAUAUUCAUUUCUGUGUGGGUAACAUUCGAACCCUUAACUUACAAUCGAACCUAUGAGUAUCCAGGCUGGGCUCAAGCCAUCGGCAUGUGUAUGGGUUUCAUAUCUAUGAUAUGUAUACCCUUAUACGUACCUAUUGCUCUCUUUAACGCUAAAGGAAAAACUCUUAAACAGCGUAUAAGGGACGCUACAACUGCAAAAUUACAAGAUUUUCAAUUGAGUAAAGGCUCGGAUGAUUACGGAAAAUUUAAAACCUCAAAGCAUAUGCUUGAACCUUCCUUAGACUCUCUUCUACCUCUAAAGAAGGACAUCGAAAGCUAAAUAAGUUUCUAACAUUGAUGGAAGAUCCUGUAUAUUUUAUUCUAAAAUUUCUCUACAUAUUAUUACCUACCUUCCCACCGGAAGUUGAAAAAGCCAAACUCGAAAGAGAAGAGGCACAAUUCGAUAAAUUAAAAAGCAACAUUUGUCGCUUAUAAUUAAUUUAUAAUCUAUUCAACUUCCAAUUUUAUAUAUUUCUUUUGCUUUAGUUUUUGUUAGUAUAUGUCUUGCUCUAUUUUUAAUUAGCUAAACUUACAAAAGCGUAUAUCAUCUAUAAAUCUUCUUACAUCGUAUUAUCUCAAGUCUAUUAUAUACGUUUAAAACUGUUUAUGCUAAAGAGAAAGGAAAAGCUGAUAUACAUAUUAUGUAUGUAUAUAUAUAUAUAUCUUAGUAUUCUCUAUUUCUUAUAUUCAUCUUAAUCCUAUUAAAAUAGGAGAGUUUCUCUUUUUCUUUCUAUCUUUCUUUCUUUCCUUUUUCUUUCUAUCUAUAUCUCGUUAUAUAUACAGUCUAUACUGUUAUACUCUAUGUUUUUCUGCAACAAUUAUGAAAUAUAAUAGAUAUAUUGUCUUUUCAUUGAAUAAUAAAUCCAAU